rnacentral:rRNA from 1 species
AUUGAACGCUGGCGGAAUGCUUUACACAUGCAAGUCGAACGGCAGCACGGACUUCGGUCUGGUGGCGAGUGGCGAACGGGUGAGUAAUGUAUCGGAACGUGCCCAGUCGUGGGGGAUAACGUAGUGAAAAUUACGCUAAUACCGCAUACGAUCUAUGGAUGAAAGCGGGGGAUCGCAAGACCUCGCGCGAUUGGAGCGGCCGAUAUCAGAUUAGGUAGUUGGUGGGGUAAAGGCCGACCAAGCCAAUGAUCUGUAGCUGGUCUGAGAGGACGACCAGCCACACUGGAACUGAGACACGGUCCAGACUCCUACGUGAGGCAGCAGUGGGGAAUUUUGGACAAUGGGCGAAAGCCUAUUCGAGCCAUUCCGCGUGCAGGAUGAAGGCCCUCGGGUUGUAAACUGCUUUUGUACAGAACGAAAAGGUUUCUACUAAUACUAAGAGCUGAUGACGGUACUGUAAGAAUAAGCACCGGCUAACUACGUGCCAGCCGCCGCAGUAA